rnacentral:lncRNA from 1 species
GGGUGCCACCAGCUUGUCCUGGGGGCCAGCAAGGCCCGGAGGAAGCUGUAAGCCCCGCCGCGGGCCGGGCGUGGCGGGCCCAGCACAGCGGCCCCAGAGCUCAUUUCCUGCCGGGCGGGGCUGAGCUCGCAGCGGCUCAGCCCUGAGCCCUCGGAACCCCGGCCGCGGCUUCCACACUCAUCGUCCUUCGGCUUCUCAGCAGUAAAGCCCUCCUUGCUAAUCCCUGUGCUGGGGAAGAGGCUCUCAGCUCCCGCAGCCCGGCAGCCCACGGGGAGAAAUGGAUGGGGAGUCCCGGAGGUACAUCUGGUGCUGUACCUCAGCUUAGCUGUGCUUCGGGUCCUGCUUUCUGGGAAGCACCCACAGCUUCUGCUGAGAUCUGCUCCCUCUGGGUCCUCAAGGUUGGUGUUUUCAUGCACUCUCUCCAGAUAAAAAUUCAUCUGCUUGUCCAA